AUUCAUGAUACUCUUCAUGGUGGCGUCGUGGAUUCGGGGUAUUUGACGGCGGUUCGUGGAUUCGGAUCGUGGGCUCGUGAAUUUGAGUGGCGUCGUGGAUUCGGCGUGAUUGAAGCUUCGUGGAUUCGAAGUGAAGGCGUUCGUGGAUUCGAACGUGAGGGCGUGGACAACCCGGAGGGUAGCGCGAAGAUUCAUAGGAGGUUAAGAGAGGUUGAGUCCGUGGAGUAGGUAAUCAUUUUGUAAUCUUUUCUCUUAGUGAAUUAUUUUUUCACAUGUUUGUCCUGUGAGUUUUUUACUCCAAGUUUGAGUUUUCCCACGUAAAUCUCGUGUGAUUUUUAUUUUUCACAUUUAUUUUGAUCGCAUUGAGAUUUGUGGUUUUUCGGCCGUUA
rnacentral:lncRNA from 1 species